rnacentral:rRNA from 1 species
UACGUAGGGGGCUAGCGUUGUCCGGAAUCAUUGGGCGUAAAGCGCGUGUAGGCGGCCCGGUAAGUCCGCUGUGAAAGUCGGGGGCUCAACCCUCGGAUGCCGGUGGAUACUGUCGGGCUCGAGUACGGAAGAGGCGAGUGGAAUUCCUGGUGUAGCGGUGAAAUGCGCAGAUAUCAGGAGGAACACCAAUAGCGAAGGCAGCUCGCUGGGACGUUACUGACACUGAGGCGCGAAAGCGUGGGGGGCGAACAGG